ACCACAGAGAACCAGAAUAAGAUUGUAGGGAAACAAGCCUUGUUACAAGGUUUGAGGGUCUCUGCUAGUAUCAUGUGGACCCCAGUGUAACAAAUCUAUGGAAAGAGAGAAAAUCUCAGCUCAAGGGUCAACAUGUCUUUAUUCCAAGAAAGAGUGUACAUAUG